rnacentral:rRNA from 1 species
AGCUGUGGGGCCGGCACGUUGUGUGUCGGUUGGUAGGGGAGCGUCGUGCAUCCGGUGAAGCUGCGGGGUGACCUUGUGGUGGAGGGUGUGCGAGUGAGAAUGCAGGCAUGAGUAGCGAUACCGGAGUGGGAAACUCCGGCGCCGAUUGACUAAGGGUUCCUGGGGCAGGUUGAUCCGCCCAGGGUGAGUCUGGACCUAAGGCGAGGCCGACAGGCGUAGUCGAUGGGCAACGGGUUGAUAUUCCCGUACCCGUGCGCGUGCGCCCAUGCUGAUAGCCCUGAUGCUGACCAUGCCGGGUGCUUGUGCCGCUUUCGGGCGGUGCGGGUGGCCUGGUCUGGGACCCGAGGGGUGUGUAGGCAAGUGAUGGGGUGACGCAGUGGGGUAGCCCUACCCGGCGGUGGUUGUCCGGGGGUAAGCGUGUAGCCCGGGGUGGUGGUAAAUCCCUGCCCUGUUAUGUGGGUGAGGCGUGAUGCCGAGCCGUUUUCGGCGAAGUGGGUGAUCCCGUGCUGUCGAGAAAAGCCUCUAGCGAGUGCGUGUGCGGCCAGUACCCGAAACCGACGCAGGUGGUCAGGUAGAGUAUACCGAGGCGUUCGGGUGAUCCGUGGUUAAGGAACUCGGCAAAUUGUCCCCGUAACUUCGGGAGAAGGGGAGCCCUGUCCGGUGAUCAGGUUUUCCCUGUGAGCUGGGUGGGGUCGCAGAUACCAGGGGGAAGCGACUGUUUAUUAAAAACACAGGUCCGUGCGAAGUCGUAAGACGCUGUAUACGGACUGACGCCUGCCCGGUGCUGGAACGUUAAGAGGACCGGUCAGCAGGCUUUUGUGCCUGUGCCGCUGGGAAUCUAAGCGCCAGUAAACGGCGGUGGUAACUAUAACCAUCCUAAGGUAGCGAAAUUCCUUGUCGGGUAAGUUCCGACCUGCACGAAUGGCGUAACGACUUCCCCGCUGUCUCAACCGCGGGCCCGGUGAAAUUGCAGUACGAGUAAAGAUGCUCGUUUCGCGCAGCAGGACGGAAAGACCCCGGGACCUUCACUAUAGCUUGACAUUGGUGUUUGGGAUGGUUUGUGUAGGAUAGGUGGGAGCCGGUGAAGCUGCCACGCUAGUGGUGGUGGAGGCGUUGGUGAAAUACCACUCUGGCUGUUUCGGGCAUCUAACCUUGGGCCGUGAUCCGGUUCGGGGACAGUGUCUGGUGGGUAGUUUAACUGGGGCGGUUGCCUCCUAAAGGGUAACGGAGGCGCCCAAAGGUUCCCUCGGCCUGGUUGGCAAUCAGGUGGUGAGUGUAAGUGCACAAGGGAGCUUGACUGUGAGACGGACGUGUCGAGCAGGUGCGAAAGCAGGGACUAGUGAUCCGGCGCCGGCGUGUGGAAGCGGCGUCGCUCAACGGCUAAAAGGUACCCCGGGGAUAACAGGCUGAUCUUCCCCAAGAGUCCGUAUCGACGGGAUGGUUUGGCACCUCGAUGUCGGCUCGUCGCAUCCUGGGGCUGGAGUUGGUCCCAAGGGUUGGGCUGUUCGCCCAUUAAAGCGGCACGCGAGCUGGGUUUAGAACGUCGUGAGACAGUUCGGUCCCUAUCCGCUGGGGCAUGGCUGGUUGGCUACGUUCGGGAGAGAUAACCGCUGAAAGCAUCUAAGUGGGAAGCUUGCUUCGAGAUGAGGUCUCCUGCCCUGUGGUGGGGGUAAGGCUGCCAGGUGAUGACUGGGUUGAUAGGCCGGGUGUGGAAGCCUUGUGAGGGGUGGAGCUGACCGGUACUAAUAGGCCGAGGGCUUGUCCGC